rnacentral:rRNA from 1 species
CCUACGGGGCGCAGCAGUGGGGGAUAUUGCACAAUGGGGGAAACCCUGAUGCAGCGACGCCGCGUGAGCGAUGAAGUAUUUCGGUAUGUAAAGCUCUAUCAGCAGGGAAGAAAAUGACGGUACCUGACUAAGAAGCCCCGGCUAACUACGUGCCAGCAGCCGCGGUAAUACGUAGGGGGCAAGCGUUAUCCGGAUUUACUGGGUGUAAAGGGAGCGUAGACGGCCAGACAAGUCUGAAGUGAAAAUCCAGCGCUUAACGUUGGAAGUGCUUUGGAAACUGCCGGGCUAGAGUGCAGGAGGGGCAG